GAUGAACGCUGGCGGCGUGCCUAAUACAUGCAAGUCGAGCGAAAAGACGAGGAGCUUGCUCCUCUGACGUUAGCGGCGGGCGUGUGAGUAACACGUGGAUAACCUACCUAUAGGACUGGGAUAACUUCGGGAAACCGGAGCUAAUACCGGAUAAUAUAUUGAACCGCAGGGUUCAAUAGUGAAAGACGGUUUUGCUGUCACUUAUAGAUGGAUCCGCGCCGGAUUAGCUAGUUGGUAAGGUAACGGCUUACCAAGGCAACGAUGCGUAGCCGACCUGAGAGGGUGAUCAGCCACACUGGAACUGAGACACGGUCCAGACUCCUACGGGAGGCAGCAGUAGGGAAUCUUCCGCAAUGGGCGAAAGCCUGACGGAGCAACGCCGCGUGAGUGAUGAAGGUCUUCGGAUCGUAAAACUCUGUUAUUAGGGACGAACAGAUGUUUAAGUAACUAUGCACGUCUUGACGGUACCUAAUCAGAAAGCCACGGCUAACUACGUG
rnacentral:rRNA from 1 species